UGGGGAAUAUUGGACAAUGGGCGCAAGCCUGAUCCAGCCAUGCCGCGUGAGUGAUGAAGGCCCUAGGGUUGUAAAGCUCUUUCACCGGUGAAGAUAAUGACGGUAACCGGAGAAGAAGCCCCGGCUAACUUCGUGCCAGCAGCCGCGGUAAUACGAAGGGGGCUAGCGUUGUUCGGAUUUACUGGGCGUAAAGCGCACGUAGGCGGACUAUUAAGUCAGGGGUGAAAUCCCGGGGCUCAACCCCGGAGCUGCCUUUGAUACUGGUAGUCUUGAGUUCGAGAGAGGUGAGUGGAAUUCCGAGUGUAGAGGUGAAAUUCGUAGAUAUUCGGAGGAACACCAGUGGCGAAGGCGGCUCACUGGCUCGAUACUGACGCUGAGGUGCGAAAGCGUGGGGAGCAAACAGG
rnacentral:rRNA from 1 species